CCUUCGAUAGCUCAGUUGGUAGAGCGGAGGACUGUAGAGGUUACACCAGGCAUCCUUAGGUCGCUGGUUCAAAUCCGGCUCGAAGGA
rnacentral:tRNA from 1 species